CGUAGGGAAAAUCGAUUUGGAACAACAGACGCACGAACGACUAAAUUGAAGAUCAUUAUUUUUGCUGCUGGAAGACGAUGAAUGUACCUGUUCUUUAGAAAAGACGGUGGAGUCUGCAAAAUCGAUUUGUCAACAACAGACGCACGAAGGGCUAAAUCGAAGUUCAGAAUUUUUGCUGCUGGAAGACGACGAACCGUUCUCUGGCAAGGCGGGAGUCUGCAAAGCGAGUUUCAGCCGUUUUCGAUUUCUAAGAUCUAAUUUUUUGAGGGCAAUUUUGAGAAUCCUCAAUUUAGUCUGAGGUAGCGAG
rnacentral:lncRNA from 1 species